UACAGUUCAGCUGGAAACCUGAAGGUGGCACAAGAGAUAGUCCUUACAGAGUGCGUCUGUGGGGAGGCUCUGGAGAGAUGGAGAACAGAAGCCUAAAUGAAACAAGUACUACAUUUGAAAAUCUGCUUUCUGAUAAUAAGUACCAAAUAUCCGUGGAUGUUUCAACUUGCUCCAAGAAUGUCAGUACCUCCUUGACAGUUCAGACAGCUGCUGAAGUCUUCAAUGGAACCACUAGGAUUACCAAUGAAGUUUACACACCUGCAUAUCAGAACAAAUCAAGUACAGCAUUUAAGGCCUUUGAAACUAAGUUCAUUAAGGAGGUA